CUCCUCCUCUGGGACACUGCCUUUAUGAAACCAAACACAUAGUUGUUAAAUCUAGUUACAGCAGGUGUUUACUGCCAUCUAGUGGAAGAUACCAAUAAAACACUUUAUUUUCAGGGUGGGGAGGCGGCUGAUUGAAACAGAAAGUUAAGUUGUUCUUUUGUACAGAAUCCAUUUUGAGACGACAGAGCAGAAGACGCUAUAUGGAGAUUACUGACAAAUAAAGAUCCAUUUUGAGACGACAGAGCAGAAGACGCUAUAUGGAGAUUACUGACAAAUAAGGGUCAGUGCUCUAAAAUGAGUCUCUCUGGGGAGAGAGAGGAGGGGGCCCUGCCUCUAAAAUGCAUCUCUCUGGGGGACAUGACACCAAAGCUAAGAGCGCCCGGCCCGGGAUUCAAACCAGCCACCUUUCAGCCACAGGUCCAACUCCUGCCACAGCUCCAACUCCUUAAUCGCUGGGCGAAAACCUGAGUUAAUCUUGGGAAAUUAGCAUAAAUUAAUCUGCCAAAAUGAAGACAAAAUGCUUUGGAGACAUACAUGGUAUCACUUGUUAUACAUAAGUAUUAUACAUAAAUCAUUGCCAAAAGCACAGGACAUAUAUUAUUUAUGGAUUGAUCAUAUCAAAUAUCAAAACAUUAUUUUAACUACUACAAAGCAUUUACAUGUGGCUCAGGAACCACUGACUCACUGCAUUGUUCUAUAGUAUUAUCAAGACACCUGCUGUUAACUCUUAACUACUUAGGACAGCUCACGAGGUGUUCUAAAUAUCUGCUGACUAGGUGGGACUAGAGAUUUCAUGCAUAGCUUUAAUUUAUUCCCCGAAGUGUCAAAUGUCUUUAUUCUCAGCACUUAUACGACCACUUCUCUACUCUGAGACGCUUUGUGGAUAUGGGCCUAGAUCUCAAAAUAUUGUUAU